rnacentral:rRNA from 1 species
GACGAACGCUGGCGGCGUGCCUAAUACAUGCAAGUCGAGCGGAUCUUGUCCUUCGGGAUAAGGUUAGCGGCGGACGGGUGAGUAACACGUAGGCAACCUGCCCUCGAGACUGGGAUAACCUCCGGAAACGGAUGCUAAUACCAGAUACGCGAUCUUCCCACCUGGGGAGAUCGGGAAAGACGGAGCAAUCUGUUACUCGGGGAUGGGCCUGCGGCGCAUUAGCUAGUUGGUGAGGUAACGGCUCACCAAGGCGACGAUGCGUAGCCGACCUGAGAGGGUGAUCGGCCACACUGGGACUGAGACACGGCCCAGACUCCUACGGGAGGCAGCAGUAGGGAAUCUUCCGCAAUGGACGAAAGUCUGACGGAGCAACGCCGCGUGAGUGAGGAAGGCCUUCGGGUCGUAAAGCUCUGUUGCCAGGGAAGAACGCUUGGGAGAGUAACUGCUCUCAAGG